rnacentral:rRNA from 1 species
UACGUAGGGUGCGAGCGUUAAUCGGAAUUGACUAGGGCGUAAAGCGUAGCGCUGGCUGUUCUGUAAGUCAGAACUGGUGAAAUCCCCGAGCUCAACUUGGGACUGCGUUUGAAACUACAGGACGUAGAAUAUGUCAGAGGGGGGUAGAAUUACCACGUGUAGCAGUGAAAUGGCGUAGAGAUGAGUGGAGGAAUACCAAUGGGCGAAGGCCAGCCCCCUGGGAUAAUAUUGACGACUCAUGGCACGAAAGCGUCGGGGAGCAAACAGG